rnacentral:rRNA from 1 species
ACGAACGCUGGCGGCGUGCUUAACACAUGCGAGUCGAACGGAAAGGCCCUGCUUUUGUGGGGUUCUCGUGUGGCGAACGUGUGUGUCACGCGUGUGUAACCUGCCCUUGACUUUGUGAUCACUUCAGGAAACUGGGGCUAAUCCCGUAUAAGCGCUCCUGCUACGUUGUGGGGGUUGGAAAGUUUCGGCGGUUGGGGAUGGACUCGCGGCUUAUCAGCUUGUUGGUGGGGUAGUGGCUUACCAAGGCUUUGACGGGUAGCCGGCCUGAGAGGGUGACCGGCCACAUUGGGACUGAGAUACGGCCCAGACUCCUACGGGAGGCAGCAGUGGGGAAUAUUGCACAAUGGGCGGAAGCCUGAUGCAGCAACGCCGCGUGCGGGAUGACGGCCUUCGGGUUGUAAACCGCUUUCGCCUGUGACGAAGCGUGAGUGACGGUAAUGGGUAAAGAAGCACCGGCUAACUACGUG